rnacentral:sRNA from 1 species
UUUUUUUUGGUUUUUGAGCAUAUCCUAAACUGAUGGUAAUUUUUGUAUUGUUAAAG